rnacentral:rRNA from 1 species
ACUCAAAGGAAUUGACGGGGGCUCACACAAGCGGUGGAGCAUGUGGCUCAAUUCGAAGCAACGCGAAGAACCUUACCUGGGUUUGACAUGCACGGAUUAGUUCUUGGAAACAGGAAUAACGCCCGCAAGGGUGGAACGUGCACAGGUGCUGCAUGGCUGUCGUCAGCUCGUGCUGUGAAGCGUCGGGUUAAGUCCCUUAACGAGCGCAACCCUUGUCGUCAGUUACCAGCGGGUCAUGCCGGGUACUCUGACGAGACUGCCGGUGUCAAACCGGAGGAAGGCGGGGAUGACGUCAAGUCCUCAUGGCCCUUAUAUCCAGGGUUGCACACGUGCUACAAUGGUGCGUACAGAGCGAAGCGAGGCCGCGAGGCGGAGCAAAUCGCAAAAAGCGCACCCCAGUUCGGAUUGCAGGCUGCAACCCGCCUGCAUGAAGCCGGAAUCGCUAGUAAUCGCGGAUCAGCUACGCCGCGGUGAAUGUGUUCCUGAGCCUUGUACACACCGCCCGU